rnacentral:rRNA from 1 species
UACAGAGGUCUCAAGCGUUGUUCGGAUUCAUUGGGCGUAAAGCGCACGUAGGCGGAUUGUUAAGUCAGGGGUGAAAUCCUAGAGCUCAACUCCAGAACUGCCUUUGAUACUGGCGAUCUUGAGUCCGGGAGAGGUGAGUGGAACUGCGAGUGUAGAGGUGAAAUUCGUAGAUAUUCGCAAGAACACCAGUGGCGAAGGCGGCUCACUGGCCCGGUACUGACGCUGAGGUGCGAAAGCGUGGGGAGCAAACAGG